rnacentral:rRNA from 1 species
UACGUAGGUGGCAAGCGUUGUCCGGAUUUAUUGGGCUUAAAGGGUGCGUAGGCGGCCUUAUAAGUCAGUGCUGAAAUAUCCCAGCUUAACUGGGAGGGUGGCAUUGAUACUGUAGGGCUUGAGUCGAGUUGAGGUUGGCGGAAUUGACGGUGUAGCGGUGAAAUGCUUAGAUAUCGUCAAGAACACCGAUAGUGAAGACAGCUAACUAAGCUCAAACUGACGCUGAGGCACGAAAGUGUGGGGAUCAAACAGG